rnacentral:rRNA from 1 species
UACGUAGGGGGCUAGCGUUGUCCGGAAUCAUUGGGCGUAAAGCGCGUGUAGGCGGUCCGGUAAGUCCGCUGUGAAAGUCCAGGGCUCAACCCUGGGAUGGCGGUGGAUACUGUCGGGCUCGAGUCCGGAAGAGGAGUGUGGAAUUCCUGGUGUAGCGGUGAAAUGCGCAGAUAUCAGGAGGAACACCAAUGGCGAAGGCAGCACUCUGGGACGUGACUGACGCUGAGACGCGAAAGCGUGGGGAGCAAACAGA